UAUCCUUGGCCUGCCUGCCUGCCUGC
rnacentral:misc_RNA from 1 species